rnacentral:rRNA from 1 species
GACCUCGGAUCAGAUAGGGAUACCCGCUGAACUUAAGCAUAUCAAUAAGCGGAGGAAAAGAAACCAACAGGGAUUGCCUCAGUAACGGCGAGUGAAGCGGCAACAGCUCAAAUUUGAAAUCUGGCCUUUGGGUCUGAGUUGUAAUUUGUAGGAGAUGCUUUGGGCAGGGUCCGGUCUAAGUUCCUUGGAACAGGACGUCAUAGAGGGUGAGAAUCCCGUAUGUGACUGGGUGCCUACGCUCAUGUAAAGCUCUUCCGACGAGUCGAGUUGUUUGGGAAUGCAGCUCAAAAUGGGUGGUAAAUUUCAUCUAAAGCUAAAUAUUGGCCAGAGACCGAUAGCGCACAAGUAGAGUGAUCGAAAGAUGAAAAGCACUUUGGAAAGAGAGUUAAACAGUACGUGAAAUUGUUGAAAGGGAAGCGCUUGCAACCAG